CUGAGUUGACCUGAUGGGAUCAACAUCCCCGAUGGCAAGUUCUACCUUGGAGAUGCUGGCUAUGCAUGUCGGCCGGGUAUUCUUCCACCCUUCAGAAAAACCAGGUACCAUCUCAACGAGUUCUCUGGUAAGAACUAUCCUAAGACUGCACAGGAGCUGUAUAAUCUUAGACACUCUAGCCUUAGAGUAACUAUUGAGAGGGCAUUUGGAGCUCUGAAGAAUAGGUUUAAGAUCCUGGAUUAGAAGUCAUUCCAUCCAUACUCCACUCAGGUUAAGUUUGUUCUUGCUUGUUGCAUUCUGCACAACUGGAUCCUCCAGUGG
rnacentral:rRNA from 1 species